rnacentral:rRNA from 1 species
GACGAACGCUGGCGGCGUGCCUAAUACAUGCAAGUAGAACGCUGAAGAGAGGAGCUUGCUCUUCUUGGAUGAGUUGCGAACGGGUGAGUAACGCGUAGGUAACCUGCCUGGUAGCGGGGGAUAACUAUUGGAAACGAUAGCUAAUACCGCAUAAAAUUGAUUAUUGCAUGAUAAUUAAUUGAGAGAUGCAACUGCAUCACUACCAGAUGGACCUGCGUUGUAUUAGCUAGUUGGUGAGGUAACGGCUCACCAAGGCGACGAUACAUAGCCGACCUGAGAGGGUGAUCGGCCACACUGGGACUGAGACACGGCCCAGACUCCUACGGGAGGCAGCAGUAGGGAAUCUUCGGCAAUGGGGGGAACCCUGACCGAGCAACGCCGCGUGAGUGAAGAAGGUUUUCGGAUCGUAAAGCUCUGUUGUAAGAGAAGAACGGGUGUGAGAGUGGAAAGUUCACACUGUGACGGUAUCUUACCAGAAAGGGACGGCUAACCACGUG